rnacentral:rRNA from 1 species
AGAGUUUGAUCAUGGCUCAGGAUGAACGCUAGCGGCAGGCCUAACACAUGCAAGUCGAACGGUAACAUAAGAGCUUGCUCUUGAUGACGAGUGGCGAACGGGUGCGUAACACGUAUGCAAUCUACCUUUAACUGGGGAAUAGCCCGAAGAAAUUCGGAUUAAUACCCCAUAAUAUUUUCGAUUCACCUGGAUUGAUCAUUAAAGCUUCGGCGGAAGAAGAUGAGCAUGCGUCCCAUUAGCUUGUUGGUAAGGUAACGGCUUACCAAGGCUACGAUGGGUAGGGGGUCUGAGAGGAUUAUCCCCCACACUGGUACUGAGACACGGACCAGACUCCUACGGGAGGCAGCAGUGAGGAAUAUUGGGCAAUGGACGAGAGUCUGACCCAGCCAUGCCGCGUGCAGGAUGACGGCCCUAUGGGUUGUAAACUGCUUUUAUACAGGAAUAAACCCCUUUACGUGUAGAGGGCUGACGGUACCAUACGAAUAAGCAUCGGCUAACUCCGUGCCAGCAGCCGCGGUAAUACGGAGGAUGCAAGCGUUAUCCGGAUUCAUUGGGUUUAAAGGGUCCGUAGGCGGAUUUUUAAGUCAGUGGUGAAAGCCCACAGCUCAACUGUGGAACUGCCAUUGAUACUGGAAGUCUUGAGUUUGGUUGAAGUGGGCGGAAUGUAUCAUGUAGCGGUGAAAUGCAUAGAUAUGAUACAGAACACCGAUUGCGAAGGCAGCUCACUAAACUAUUAUUGACGCUGAGGGACGAAAGUGUGGGGAGCGAACAGGAUUAGAUACCCUGGUAGUCCACACCGUAAACGAUGAUUACUCGGUGCUAGCGAUAUACUGUUAGUGCCUAAGCGAAAGCGAUAAGUAAUCCACCUGGGGAGUACGGUCGCAAGAUUGAAACUCAAAGGAAUUGACGGGGGCCCGCACAAGCGGUGGAGCAUGUGGUUUAAUUCGAUCAUACGCGAGGAACCUUACCAGGGCUUAAAUGCAAGAUGACCUCUUGGGAAACCAGGAUUUCUUCGGACAAUUUGCAAGGUGCUGCAUGGCUGUCGUCAGCUCGUGUCGUGAGAUGUUGGGUUAAGUCCCGUAACGAGCGCAACCCUUGUCCUUAGUUGCCAUCAGGUAAUGCUGGGGACUCUAAGGAAACUGCCCGCGUAAGCGGUGAGGAAGGUGGGGACGAUGUCAAGUCAUCACGGCCCUUACGUCCUGGGCUACACACGUGCUACAAUGGCGAGUACAAAGGGCUGCUACCAGGUGACUGGAUGCAAAUCUCUAAAACUCGUCUCAGUUCGGAUUGAAGUCUGCAACUCGACUUCAUGAAGCUGGAAUCGCUAGUAAUCGUAUAUCAGCCAUGAUACGGUGAAUACGUUCCCGGGCCUUGUACACACCGCCCGUCAAGCCAUGGAAGCUGGGGGUGCCUGAAGUCGGUCACCGCAAGGAGCCGCCUAAGGUAAAACUGGUAACUAGGGCUAAGUCGUAACAAGGUAACC